GGGCUGCAGUAGGGAAUAUUGGGCAAUGGGCGAAAGCCUGACCCAGCGACGCCGCGUGAGGGAUGAAGGUCUUCGGAUUGUAAACCUCUUUCAGUAGGGAAGAAGCGAAAGUGACGGUACCUAAAGAAGAAGCACCGGCUAACUAUGUGCCAGCAGCCGCGGUAAUACAUAGGGUGCAAGCGUUGUCCGGAAUUAUUGGGCGUAAAGAGCUCGUAGGUCGUUUGUCGCGUCGAUUGUGAAAAUCUGAGGCUCAACCUCAGACCUGCAGUCGAUACGGGCAAACUAGAGUGUGGUAGGGGAGACUGGAAUUCCUGGUGUAGCGGUGGAAUGCGCAGAUAUCAGGAGGAACACCAAUGGCGAAGGCAGGUCUCUGGGCCAUAACUGACACUGAGGAGCGAAAGUGCGGGGAGCGAACAGGAUUAGAUACCCCGGUAGUC
rnacentral:rRNA from 1 species